rnacentral:rRNA from 1 species
UGAGGAACAUGACUUUCGGCGGGGGAUAGCCGGCCCAACGGCCGGGUAAUACCGCGUACGACCACAUGGGGACAUCCCUGAGUGGUGAAAGCAGCAAUGCGCCGAUGGAGUGCCUCGCGGCCUAUCAGCUAGUUGGUGAGGUAACGGCUCACCAAGGCGACGACGGGUAGCUGGUCUGAGAGGAUGGCCAGCCCACAGUUGGGACUGAGACACCGGCCCAGACCUCGUACCGGGGAGG